UCCCUCUUAGCUCAGUGAUAGAGCGCGUCACUAGUAUUCAAGAUCAUACACCCCACGAUGGCAUGACGAGGUCAGUCGUUCAAGUCGGCCUAGAGGGAA